UUAUGGCCAUAUCACGUUGGAACACCGAUUCAGGUACGAUCAGCGAAGUUAAGCCACGUCGAGGCUGAUCAGUACCUAGAUGAGUGACCGCAUUGGAAUGCAAGGUGCUGUAU